rnacentral:rRNA from 1 species
CUGGUUGAUCCUGCCAGUAGUCAUAUGCUUGUCUCAAAGAUUAAGCCAUGCAUGUCUAAGUAUAAGCAACUUUGUACUGUGAAACUGCGAAUGGCUCAUUAAAUCAGUUAUAGUUUAUUUGAUGGUUUUUGCUACAUGGAUAACUGUGGUAAUUCUAGAGCUAAUACAUGCAUUCAAGCCCCGACUUCUGGAAGGGGUGUAUUUAUUAGAUAAAAAUCAACUUUGUUGGUGAAUCAUAAUAACUUCUCGGACCGCAUGGCCUCGUGCUGGCGGUGCUUCAUUCAAAUAUCUGCCCUAUCAACUGUCGAUGGUAGGAUAGAGGCCUACCAUGGUUGCAACGGGUAACGGGGAAUAAGGGUUCGAUUCCGGAGAGGGAGCCUGAGAAACGGCUACCACAUCCAAGGAAGGCAGCAGGCGCGCAAAUUACCCAAUCCCAACACGGGGAGGUAGUGACAAUAUGUAACAAUAUACGGCCUUAUACGUCGUAUAAUUGGAAUGAGUACAAUUUAAAUCCCUUAACGAGGAACAAUUGGAGGGCAAGUCUGGUAAUCACUAGUGAA